UGGGGUGACUGCGUACCUUUUGUAUAAUGGGUCAGCGACUUAUAUUCUGUAGCAAGGUUAACCGAAUAGGGGAGCCGGAGGGAAACCGAGUCUUAAUUGGGCGUUAAGUUGCAGGGUAUAGACCCGAAACCCGGUGAUCUAGCCAUGGGCAGGUUGAAGGUUGGGUAACACUAACUGGAGGACCGAACCGACUAAUGUUGAAAAAUUAGCGGAUGACCUGUGGCUGGGGGUGAAAGGCCAAUCAAACCGGGAGAUAGCUGGUUCUCCCCGAAAGCUAUUUAGGUAGCGCCUCGUGAACUCAUCUCCGGGGGUAGAGCACUGUUUCGGCUAGGGGGCCAUCCCGGCUUACCAACCCGAUGCAAACUGCGAAUACCGGAGAAUGUUAUCACGGGAGACACACGGCGGGUGCUAACGUCCGUCGUGAAGAGGGAAACAACCCAGACCGCCAGCUAAGGUCCCAAAGUCAUGGUUAAGUGGGAAACGAUGUGGGAAGGCCCAGACAGCCAGGAUGUUGGCUUAGAAGCAGCCAUCAUUUAAAGAAAGCGUAAUAGCUCACUGGUCGAGUCGGCCUGCGCGGAAGAUGUAACGGGGCUAAACCAUGCACCGAAGCUGCGGCAGCGAACGUAUCACCCAAGACAACUUUACGGAGUUGACGAUUGACGGAGCGAAGCGACGUCAAAGCGUUCAUUAAAGUCGAGUUGGCUUAGGGAUACGUUCGUUGGGUAGGGGAGCGUUCUGUAAGCCUGUGAAGGUGGCCUGUGAGGGUUGCUGGAGGUAUCAGAAGUGCGAAUGCUGACAUAAGUAACGAUAAAGCGGGUGAAAAGCCCGCUCGCCGGAAGACCAAGGGUUCCUGUCCAACGUUAAUCGGGGCAGGGUGAGUCGACCCCUAAGGCGAGGCCGAAAGGCGUAGUCGAUGGGAAACGGGUUAAUAUUCCCGUACUUGGUGUUACUGCGAAGGGGGGACGGAGAAGGCUAUGUUGGCCGGGCGACGGUUGUCCCGGUUUAAGCGUGUAGGCUGGUUUUCCAGGCAAAUCCGGAAAAUCAAGGCUGAGGCGUGACGACGAGGCACUACGGUGCUGAAGCAACAAAUGCCCUGCUUCCAGGAAAAGCCUCUAAGCAUCAGGUAACAUCAAAUCGUACCCCAAACCGACACAGGUGGUCAGGUAGAGAAUACCAAGGCGCUUGAGAGAACUCGGGUGAAGGAACUAGGCAAAAUGGUGCCGUAACUUCGGGAGAAGGCACGCUGACA
rnacentral:rRNA from 1 species